GCUUGUUGGGGUUGUAGGACACUCUAUACGGAGUUACAAAGGACGACAUUAGACGAAUCAUCUGGAAAGAUGAAUCAAAGAAGGUAAUAAUCCUGUAGUCGAAAAUGUUGUCUCUCUUGAGUGGAUCCUGAGUACGACGGAGCACGUGAAAUUCCGUCGGAAUCUGGGAGGACCAUCUCCUAAGGCUAAAUACUCUCUAGUGACCGAUAGUGAACCAGUACCGUGAGGGAAAGGUGAAAAGCACCCCGGAAGGGGAGUGAAAUAGAACCUGAAACCGUGUGCUUACAAGUAGUCAGAGCCCGUUAAUGGGUGAUGGCGUGCCUUUUGUAGAAUGAACCGGCGAGUUACGAUUUGAUGCAAGGUUAAGCAGUAAAUGUGGAGCCGUAGCGAAAGCGAGUCUGAAUAGGGCGUUUAGUAUUUGGUCGUAGACCCGAAACCAGGUGAUCUACCCUUGGUCAGGUUGAAGUUCAGGUAACACUGAAUGGAGGACCGAACCGACUUACGUUGAAAAGUGAGCGGAUGAACUGAGGGUAGCGGAGAAAUUCCAAUCGAACCUGGAGAUAGCUGGUUCUCUCCGAAAUAGCUUUAGGGCUAGCCUCAAGUGAUGAUUAUUGGAGGUAGAGCACUGUUUGGACGAGGGGCCCCUCUCGGGUUACCGAAUUCAGACAAACUCCGAAUGCCAAUUAAUUUAACUUGGGAGUCAGAACAUGGGUGAUAAGGUCCGUGUUCGAAAGGGAAACAGCCCAGACCACCAGCUAAGGUCCCAAAAUAUAUGUUAAGUGGAAAAGGAUGUGGCGUUGCCCAGACAACUAGGAUGUUGGCUUAGAAGCAGCCAUCAUUUAAAGAGUGCGUAAUAGCUCACUAGUCGAGUGACACUGCGCCGAAAAUGUACCGGGGCUAAACAUAUUACCGAAGCUGUGGAUUGUCCUUUGGACAAUGGUAGGAGAGCGUUCUAAGGGCGUUGAAGCAUGAUCGUAAGGACAUGUGGAGCGCUUAGAAGUGAGAAUGCCGGUGUGAGUAGCGAAAGACGGGUGAGAAUCCCGUCCACCGAUUGACUAAGGUUUCCAGAGGAAGGCUCGUCCGCUCUGGGUUAGUCGGGUCCUAAGCUGAGGCCGACAGGCGUAGGCGAUGGAUAACAGGUUGAUAUUCCUGUACCACCUAUAAUCGUUUUAAUCGAUGGGGGGACGCAGUAGGAUAGGCGAAGCGUGCGAUUGGAUUGCACGUCUAAGCAGUAAGGCUGAGUAUUAGGCAAAUCCGGUACUCGUUAAGGCUGAGCUGUGAUGGGGAGAAGACAUUGUGUCUUCGAGUCGUUGAUUUCACACUGCCGAGAAAAGCCUCUAGAUAGAAAAUAGGUGCCCGUACCGCAAACCGACACAGGUAGUCAAGAUGAGAAUUCUAAGGUGAGCGAGCGAACUCUCGUUAAGGAACUCGGCAAAAUGACCCCGUAACUUCGGGAGAAGGGGUGCUCUUUAGGGUUAACGCCCAGAAGAGCCGCAGUGAAUAGGCCCAAGCGACUGUUUAUCAAAAACACAGGUCUCUGCUAAACCGUAAGGUGAUGUAUAGGGGCUGACGCCUGCCCGGUGCUGGAAGGUUAAGAGGAGUGGUUAGCUUCUGCGAAGCUACGAAUCGAAGCCCCAGUAAACGGCGGCCGUAACUAUAACGGUCCUAAGGUAGCGAAAUUCCUUGUCGGGUAAGUUCCGACCCGCACGAAAGGCGUAACGAUUUGGGCACUGUCUCAACGAGAGACUCGGUGAAAUCAUAGUACCUGUGAAGAUGCAGGUUACCCGCGACAGGACGGAAAGACCCCGUGGAGCUUUACUGUAGCCUGAUAUUGAAAUUCGGCACAGCUUGUACAGGAUAGGUAGGAGCCUUUGAAACGUGAGCGCUAGCUUACGUGGAGGCGCUGGUGGGAUACUACCCUAGCUGUGUUGGCUUUCUAACCCGCACCACUUAUCGUGGUGGGAGACAGUGUCAGGCGGGCAGUUUGACUGGGGCGGUCGCCUCCUAAAAGGUAACGGAGGCGCUCAAAGGUUCCCUCAGAAUGGUUGGAAAUCAUUCAUAGAGUGUAAAGGCAUAAGGGAGCUUGACUGCGAGACCUACAAGUCGAGCAGGGUCGAAAGACGGACUUAGUGAUCCGGUGGUUCCGCAUGGAAGGGCCAUCGCUCAACGGAUAAAAGCUACCCCGGGGAUAACAGGCUUAUCUCCCCCAAGAGUUCACAUCGACGGGGAGGUUUGGCACCUCGAUGUCGGCUCAUCGCAUCCUGGGGCUGUAGUCGGUCCCAAGGGUUGGGCUGUUCGCCCAUUAAAGCGGUACGCGAGCUGGGUUCAGAACGUCGUGAGACAGUUCGGUCCCUAUCCGUCGUGGGCGUAGGAAAUUUGAGAGGAGCUGUCCUUAGUACGAGAGGACCGGGAUGGACAUACCUCUGGUGUACCAGUUGUCGUGCCAACGGCAUAGCUGGGUAGCUAUGUGUGGACGGGAUAAGUGCUGAAAGCAUCUAAGCAUGAAGCCCCCCUCAAGAUGAGAUUUCCCAACUUCGGUUAUAAGAUCCCUCAAAGAUGAUGAGGUUAAUAGGUUCGAGGUGGAAGCAUGGUGACAUGUGGAGCUGACGAAUACUAAUCGAUCGAAGACUUAAUCAA
rnacentral:rRNA from 1 species